GACGAACGCUGGCGGCGUGCUUAACACAUGCAAGUCGAACGGAAAGGCCCUGCUUUCGUGGUGUGCUCGAGUGGCGAACGGGUGUGUAACACGUGAGUAACCUGCCCUUGACUUUGGGAUAACUACAGGAAACUGGGGCUUAUACCGGAUAGGAGCUCCUGCUGCAUGGUGGGGGUUGGAAAGUUUCGGCGGUUGGGGAUGGACUCGCGGCUUAUCAGCUUGUUGGUGGGGUUGUGGCUUACCAAGGCUUUGACGGGUAGCCGGCCUGAGAGGGUGACCGGCCACAUUGGGACUGAGAGACGGCCCAGACUCCUACGGGAGGCAGCAGUGGGGAAUAUUGCACAAUGGGCGGAAGCAUGAUGCAGCAACGCCGCGUGCGGGAUGACGGCCUUCGGGUUGUAAACCGCUUUCGCCUGUGACGAAGCGUGAGUGACGGUAAUGGGUAAAGAAGCACCGGCUAACUACGUG
rnacentral:rRNA from 1 species